rnacentral:rRNA from 1 species
AGAGUUUGAUCCUGGCUCAGGAUAAACGCUGGCGGCGUGCUUAACACAUGCAAGUCGAACGAAGUUUUUCUUUCGGGAGAAACUUAGUGGCGGACGGGUGAGUAACGCGUGGGUAACCUGCCCUGUACAGGGGGACAACAGCUGGAAACGGCUGCUAAUACCGCAUAAGCCCUUAGCACUGCAUGGUGCAUAGGGAAAAGGAGUAAUCCGGUACAGGAUGGACCCGCGUCUGAUUAGCCAGUUGGCAGGGUAACGGCCUACCAAAGCAACGAUCAGUAGCCGAUCUGAGAGGAUGUACGGCCACAUUGGGACUGAGACACGGCCCAGACUCCUACGGGAGGCAGCAGUGGGGAAUAUUGCACAAUGGGGGAAACCCUGAUGCAGCGACGCCGCGUGGAGGAAGAAGGUCUUCGGAUUGUAAACUCCUGUCGUUGGGGACGAUAAUGACGGUACCCAACAAGAAAGCCACGGCUAACUACGUGCCAGCAGCCGCGGUAAAACGUAGGUGGCAAGCGUUGUCCGGAAUUACUGGGUGUAAAGGGAGCGCAGGCGGAAGGACAAGUUGGAAGUGAAACCCACGGGCUCAACCCGUGAACUGCUUUCAAAACUGUUUUUCUUGAGUGGUGUAGAGGUAGGCGGAAUUCCCGGUGUAGCGGUGGAAUGCGUAGAUAUCGGGAGGAACACCAGUGGCGAAGGCGGCCUACUGGGCACUAACUGACGCUGAGGCUCGAAAGCAUGGGUAGCAAACAGGAUUAAAUACCCUGGUAGUCCAUGCCGUAAACGAUGAUUACUAGGUGUGGGAGGAUUGACCCCUUCCGUGCCGCAGUUAACACAAUAAGUAUUCCACCUGGGGAGUACGGCCGCAAGGUUGAAACUCAAAGGAAUUGACGGGGGCCCGCACAAGCAGUGGAGUAUGUGGUUUAAUUCGACGCAACGCGAAGAACCUUACCAAGUCUUGACAUCCUGCGACGGUGCUGGAAACAGUACUUUCCUUCGGGACGCAGAGACAGGUGGUGCAUGGUUGUCGUCAGCUCGUGUCGUGAGAUGUUGGGUUAAGUCCCGCAACGAGCGCAACCCUUACUGUCAGUUACUACGCAAGAGGACUCUGGCAGGACUGCCGUUGACAAAACGGAGGAAGGUGGGGAUGACGUCAAAUCAUCAUGCCCUUUAUGACUUGGGCUACACACGUACUACAAUGGCGUUAAACAAAGAGAAGCAAGACCGCGAGGUGGAGCAAAACUCAGAAACAACGUCCCAGUUCGGACUGCAGGCUGCAACUCGCCUGCACGAAGUCGGAAUUGCUAGUAAUCGUGGAUCAGCAUGCCACGGUGAAUACGUUCCCGGGCCUUGUACUCACCGCCCGUCA